UCUGGUGGCGAAGGCGGUGUGGACCCACCCGUACCCAUACCGAACACGGAAGUUAAGCACACCAGCGCCGAAGGUACUUGGGGGGCGACCCCCUGGGAGAUGAGGUCGCUGCCAGGU
rnacentral:rRNA from 1 species